UUGGGUUUGGCUAGGAUGCUAUACUGCAGUCGAGCGGACAGAUGGGAGCUUGCUCCCUGCAUGUUAGCGGCGGACGGGUGAGUAACACGUGGGUAACCUGCCUGUAAGACUGGGAUAACUCCGGGAAACCGGGGCUAAUACCGGAUGCUUGAUUGAACCGCAUGGUUCAAUUAUAAAAGGUGGCUUUUAGCUACCACUUACAGAUGGACCCGCGGCGCAUUAGCUAGUUGGUGAGGUAACGGCUCACCAAGGCAACGAUGCGUAGCCAACCUGAGAGGGUGAUCGGCCACACUGGGACUGAGACACGGCCCAGACUCCUACGGGAGGCAGCAGUAGGGAAUCUUCCGCAAUGGACGAAAGUCUGACGGAGCAACGCCGCGUGAGUGAUGAAGGUUUUCGGAUCGUAAAACUCUGUUGUUAGGGAAGAACAAGUACCGUUCGAAUAGGGCGGUACCUUGACGGUACCUAACCAGAAAGCCACGGCUAACUACGUGCCAGCAGCCGCGGUAAUACGUAGGUGGCAAGCGUUGUCCGGAAUUAUUGGGCGUAAAGCGCGCGCAGGCGGUUUCUUAAGUCUGAUGUGAAAGCCCCCGGCUCAACCGGGGAGGGUCAUUGGAAACUGGGGAACUUGAGUGCAGAAAAGGAAAGUGGAAUUCCACGUGUAGCGGUGAAAUGCGUAAAGAUGUGGAGGAACACCAGUGGCGAAGGCGACUCUCUGGUCUGUAACUGACGCUGAGGCGCGAAAGCGUGGGGAGCGAACAGGAUUAGAUACCCUGGUAGUCCACGCCGUAAACGAUGAGUGCUAAGUGUUAGAGGGUUUCCGCCCUUUAGUGCUGCAGCAAACGCAUUAAGCACUCCGCCUGGGGAGUACGGUCGCAAGACUGAAACUCAAAGGAAUUGACGGGGGCCCGCACAAGCGGUGGAGCAUGUGGUUUAAUUCGAAGCAACGCGAAGAACCUUACCAGGUCUUGACAUCCUCUGACAACCCUAGAGAUAGGGCUUCCCCUUUCGGGGGCAGAGUGACAAGUGGUUGCAUGGGUUGUCGUCCACCUCCUGUCCUGAAAAUUUUUGGGUUAAAGUCCCCCAACCCAACGGCAACCCUUGGAUCCUUAAUUUGCCAAACAUUUCAGUUUGGGCACCUCUUAAGGUUAU
rnacentral:rRNA from 1 species